rnacentral:rRNA from 1 species
AUUGAACGCUGGCGGCAGGCCUAACACAUGCAAGUCGGGCGGAUGAGAGGAGCUUGCUUCUUGAUUCAGCGACGGACGGGUGAGUAAUGCCUAGGAAUCUGCCUGGUAGUGGGGGACAACGUUUCGAAAGGAACGCUAAUACCGCAUACGUCCUACGGGCGAAAGCAGGGGACCUUCGGGCCUUGCGCUAUCAGAUGAGCCUAGGUCGGAUUAGCUAGUUGGUGAGGUAAUGGCUCACCAAGGCGACGAUCCGUAACUGGUCUGAGAGGAUGAUCAGUCACACUGGAACUGAGACACGGUCCAGACUCCUACGGGAGGCAGCAGUGGGGAAUAUUGGACAAUGGGCGAAAGCCUGAUCCAGCCAUGCCGCGUGUGUGAAGAAGGUCUUCGGAUUGUAAAGCACUUUAAGUUGGGAGGAAGGGUUGUACGUUAAUACCGCGCAAUUCUGACGUUACCGACAGAAUAAGCACCGGCUAACUCUGUGCCAGCCGCCGCCGUAA